UGGGGAAUAUUGCACAAUGGGCGAAAGCCUGAUGCAGCGACGCCGCGUGAGGGAUGACGGCCUUCGGGUUGUAAACCUCUUUCAGCAGGGACGAAGCGCAAGUGACGGUACCUGCAGAAGAAGCACCGGCUAACUACGUGCCAGCAGCCGCGGUAAUACGUAGGGUGCAAGCGUUGUCCGGAAUUACUUGGCGUAAAGAGUUCGUAGGCGGUUUGUCGCGUCGUUUGUGAAAACCAGCAGCUCAACUGCUGGCUUGCAGGCGAUACGGGCAGACUUGAGUACUGCAGGGGAGACUGGAAUUCCUGGUGUAGCGGUGAAAUGCGCAGAUAUCAGGAGGAACACCGGUGGCGAAGGCGGGUCUCUGGGCAGUAACUGACGCUGAGGAACGAAAGCGUGGGUAGCGAACAGG
rnacentral:rRNA from 1 species